AGCGUCAUCGUCCUUCGGCCAUCACCUUUAAACGGAAGGCCCUAUGUUCCGUUUCACCUCCACUAAGCUUUUCAUCUUCUUAUGCGUGACAGAAGAUACACAUAUUUCUAUUAUGAUUUGUUUUGAUUUUUUUCUUUGCUUAUGCGUAAAAUGUUCUAAUUUAAAUAUUAAGAACUACGUAGUGGCUUGAUCCCAAUCUUCCAACAUUGGGUAUGUAGGCAGCCGUUCAUACUAGACCAUAUUGGUGCAGCCACAAAAUUUAUUUUUUUUCCCCUUCUCGUAGUGUGGAUGCAUUUUCGUCAGGACUACUUGGCAAUAAGAGUGAGGUGGAUGAAGGGCUCAAAAGAAGGUUGAACAAGAGAAGAUAGCAAGUAGCCAAUUCAAGGCAAGGCAUAGCCAACAGUUGAAGUUCCAGGUAAUUUCUUUUGUAUGAGUCCUAGUUUGGGGGGGAAGUGUUUAGUUAGGAGGGUUAAAGUCAAUUUUCGGA